UCUUGGUCAUUUAGAGGAAGUAAAAGUCGUAACAAGGUUUCCGUAGGUGAACCUGCGGAAGGAUCAUUAUUGAUUUGAAACUUUAUGGCUUUGUGCUGUUUGCUGGCCCCCUUGGGGUAAUGUGCACGCAUCAGGUCAUUUGUUUCUCUCUUCCACCUGUGCAUUGUUGUAGACUCUAUGUCUAUGUUUUUUUCUUACACAUAUACAUGUAUGUUGUCUGUCUAUGAGUGUAAUAAAGGUUUACAACUUUCAACAAUGGAUCUCUUGGUUCUCGCAUCGAUGAAGAACACAGCGAAAUGUGAUAAGUAAUGUGAAUUGCAGAAUUCAGUGAAUCAUCGAAUCUUUGAACGCAUCUUGUGCUCCUUGGUAUUCCGAGGGGCAUGCCUGUUUGAGUGUCAUUUAAUCUAUCAAACCACUUCUUUUUAUGAAGUGUUUUUGGAUAUUUGGGAGUCUGCUGGUUUUCGAACCCUAGCUUUCCUGAAAAAUAUUAAGUGUUAAAACCCUUGGUUGGGGGUGAUAACUGUCCUACAUCAACUUUGGUUGCCUUAUGCUUUUAUAUUUCAAUUUUUUUUCAUUUGACCUCAAAUCAGGUAGGAUUACCCGCUGAACUUAAGCAUAUCAAUAAGCGGAGGA
rnacentral:rRNA from 1 species